UGCAGUCGAGGGGCAGCGGAUGAAGUACUUCGGUACUUUUGCCGGCGACCGGCGCACGGGUGCGUAACGCGUAUGCAACCUACCAUUAACAGGGGGAUAAUUCGGAGAAAUCUGGUCUAAUACCCCAUAACAUCAGAAUAGGCAUCUAUUUUGGUUGAAAGUUCCGGCGGUUAAUGAUGGGCAUGCGUUGUAUUAGUUAGUUGGUGAGGUAACGGCUCACCAAGACUACGAUACAUAGGGGGACUGAGAGGUUUUCCCCCCACACUGGUACUGAGACACGGACCAGACUCCUACGGGAGGCAGCAGUGAGGAAUAUUGGUCAAUGGACGCAAGUCUGAACCAGCCAUGCCGCGUGCAGGAUGACGGCUCUAUGAGUUGUAAACUGCUUUUGCAGAAGGGUAAACCUACUUACGUGUAAGUAGCUGAAAGUACUCUGCGAAUAAGGAUCGGCUAACUCCGUGCCAGCAGCCGCGGUAAUACGGAGGAUCCAAGCGUUAUCCGGAUUUAUUGGGUUUAAAGGGUGCGUAGGCGGUUUUAUAAGUUAGAGGUGAAAGCCCGUAGCUCAACUACGGAACUGCCUCUGAUACUGUAAGGCUAGAGAUUAGAUGCUGUGGGCGGAAUGUGUGGUGUAGCGGUGAAAUGCUUAGAUAUCACACAGAACACCGAUUGCGAAGGCAGCUCACAAAACUAAAUCUGACGCUGAGGCACGAAAGCGUGGGGAUCAAACAGGAUUAGAUACCCUGGUAGUCCACGCCGUAAACUAUGAUAGCUCGUUGUCGGCGAUACACAGUCGGUGACUUAGCGAAAGCGUUAAGCUAUCCACCUGGGGAGUACGUUCGCAAGAAUGAAACUCAAAGGAAUUGACGGGGGCCCGCACAAGCGGAGGAACAUGUGGUUUAAUUCGAUGAUACGCGAGGAACCUUACCCGGGCUUGAAAGUUAGUGACGGAUGCCGAAAGGUGUCUUCCCUUCGGGGCACGAAACUAGGUGCUGCAUGGUUGUCGUCAGCUCGUGCCGUGAGGUGUCGGGUUAAGUCCCAUAACGAGCGCAACCCCUACUGUUAGUUGCCAGCGAGUAAUGUCGGGAACUCUAACAGGACUGCCGGUGUAAGCCGAGAGGAAGGUGGGGAUGACGUCAAAUCAGCACGGCCCUUACGUCCGAGGCGACACACGUGUUACAAUGGUCGGUACAGAGGGCAGCUACCUGGUGACAGGAUGCGAAUCUCGAAAGCCGAUCUCAGUUCGGAUCGGAGGCUGAAACUCGCCUCCGUGAAGUUGGAUUCGCUAGUAAUCGCGCAUCAGCCAUGGCGCGGUGAAUACGUUCCCGGGCCUUAGCAACACCGCCCGUCAAGCCAUGAAAGUUGGGGGUGCUUGAAGUACGUGACCGUAAGGAGC
rnacentral:rRNA from 1 species